UACGAAGGGUGCUAGCGUUGUUCGGAAUUACUGGGCGUAAAGCGCGUGUAGGCGGGCCGUUAAGUCGGGGGUGAAAGCCCAGAGCUCAACUCUGGAACUGCCUUCGAUACUGGCGGCCUGGAGCAUGAUAGAGGCGAGUUGAAUUGCGAGUGUAGAGGUGAAAUUCGUAGAUAUUCGGAAGAACACCAGUGGCGAAGGCGACUCGCUGGACAAGUAUUGACGCUGAGGUGCGAAAGCGUGGGGAGCAAACAGG
rnacentral:rRNA from 1 species